GAUGAACGCUGGCGGAGGGCCGAAUACAUGCAAGUCGAGCGAACAGACGAGGAGCUUGCUCCUCUGACGUUAGCGGCGGACGGGUGAGUAACACGUGGAUAACCUACCUAUAAGACUGGGAUAACUUCGGGAAACCGGAGCUAAUACCGGAUAAUAUAUUGAACCGCAUGGUUCAAUAGUGAAAGACGGUUUUGCUGUCACUUAUAGAUGGAUCCGCGCCGCAUUAGCUAGUUGGUAAGGUAACGGCUUACCAAGGCAACGAUGCGUAGCCGACCUGAGAGGGUGAUCGGCCACACUGGAACUGAGACACGGUCCAGACUCCUACGGGAGGCAGCAGUAGGGAAUCUUCCGCAAUGGGCGAAAGCCUGACGGAGCAACGCCGCGUGAGUGAUGAAGGUCUUCGGAUCGUAAAACUCUGUUAUUAGGGAAGAACAAAUGUGUAAGUAACUAUGCACGUCUUGACGGUACCUAAUCAGAAAGCCACGGCUAACUACGUG
rnacentral:rRNA from 1 species